UAGGGAAUCUUCGGCAAUGGACGAAAGUCUGACCGAGCAACGCCGCGUGAGUGAAGAAGGUUUUCGAAUCGUAAAACUCUGUUGGUAGAGAAGAACGUUGGUGAGAGUGGAAAGCUCAUCAAGUGACGGUAACUACCCAGAAAGGGCGGCUAACUACGUGCCA
rnacentral:rRNA from 1 species